rnacentral:rRNA from 1 species
AGAAUCAACGCUGGCGGCGUGCCUAACACAUGCAAGUCGAACGAGAAAGUGGAGCAAUCCAUGAGUAAAGUGGCGCACGGGUGAGUAACACGUGACUAACCUACCCUUGAGUGGGGGAUAACCUCGGGAAACCGGGGCUAAUACCGCAUAAUAUCGAGAGAUCAAAGGAGCAAUUCGCUUAAGGAGGGGGUCGCGGCUGAUUAGCUAGUUGGUGAGGUAAUGGCUCACCAAGGCUAUGAUCAGUAUCCGGCCUGAGAGGGCGCACGGACACACUGGAACUGAAACACGGUCCAGACUCCUACGGGAGGCAGCAGUGGGGAAUUUUGCGCAAUGGGGGAAACCCUGACGCAGCAACGCCGCGUGGAGGAUGAAGUCCCUUGGGACGUAAACUCCUUUCGAUCGGGACGAUAAUGACGGUACCGGAAGAAGAAGCCCCGGCUAACUUCGCGCCAGCAGCCGC